UACGAAGGGGGCGAGCGUUGUUCGGAUUUACUGGGCGUAAAGGGCGCGCAGGCGGCUAUCCAAGUCAGGCGUGAAAGCCCCGGGCUUAACCUGGGAGGUGCGUCUGGGACUGGGUGGCUAGAGUUCGGGAGAGGAGAGUGGAAUUCCCAGUGUAGAGGUGAAAUUCGUAGAUAUUGGGAAGAACACCGGUGGCGAAGGCGGCUCUCUGGACAGUUCCUGACGCUGAGGCACGAAGGUCAGGGGAGCAAACGGG
rnacentral:rRNA from 1 species